rnacentral:rRNA from 1 species
CACGUAGGGUGCGAGCGUUGUCCGGAAUUAUUGGGCGUAAAGAGCUCGUAGGCGGUGUGUCGCGUCGGCCGUGAAAACCUGCAGCUUAACUGUGGGCUUGCGGUCGAUACGGGCAUCACUGGAGUUCGGCAGGGGAGACUGGAAUUCCUGGUGUAGCGGUGAAAUGCGCAGAUAUCAGGAGGAACACCGGUGGCGAAGGCGGGUCUCUGGACAGUUACUGACGCUGAGGCACGAAGGCCAGGGGAGCAAACGGG